rnacentral:rRNA from 1 species
CAAAAACAUCGCCUUUAGCUACAACAAGUAUUAAAGGUCCCGCCUGCCCAGUGAACCUAAUUUUUAACGGCCGCGGUACCCUAACCGUGCAAAGGUAGCGUAAUCACUUGUCCCUUAAAUAGGGACCUGUAUGAAUGGCUAAUUGAGGGUGACACUGUCUCCUAAGGCCAAUCAGCGAAACUGAUCCUCUAGUACAAAAGCUAGAAUAAACCCACAAGACGAGAAGACCCUGUGGAGCUUUAAGCCAAGACACUGACACCCAACAGUGCCCGCUUUAAGUUGGGGCGACUACGGAGAACAACCAAACCUCCGCGCAAGAGCCAACCAGCCCAUCAAGGACAACACUCCAAAAAGUACCCACCAUCCGACCCAGUACCACUGAUCACCGAACCAAGUUACCCCAGGGAUAACAGCGCCAUCCCCCUCGAGAGUCCACAUCGACAGGGGGGCUUACGACCUCGAUGUUGGAUCAGGGCCCCCAGGUGGUGCAGCCGCUACCUAAGGUCCGUUUGUUCAACGGCUAACGCCCUACGUGAUCUGA